rnacentral:tRNA from 1 species
GCGGGAUUGAUGGAAUAGGCAGUCAUAUGGGUCUUAAAAACCCAGGCUUUCGGGCGUACCAGUUCAAAUCUGGUAUCCCGCA